GACGAACGCUGGCGGCGUGCCUAAUACAUGCAAGUUGAGCGCUGAAGGUUGGUACUUGUACCAACUGGAUGAGCAGCGCACGGGUGAGUAACGCGUGGGGAAUCUGCCUUUGAGCGGGGGACAACAUUUGGAAACGAAUGCUAAUACCGCAUAAAAACUUUAAACACAAGUUUUAAGUUUGAAAGAUGCAAUUGCAUCACUCAAAGAUGAUCCCGCGUUGUAUUAGCUAGUUGGUGAGGUAAAGGCUCACCAAGGCGAUGAUACAUAGCCGACCUGAGAGGGUGAUCGGCCACAUUGGGACUGAGACACGGCCCAAACUCCUACGGGAGGCAGCAGUAGGGAAUCUUCGGCAAUGGACGAAAGUCUGACCGAGCAGCGCCGCGUGAGGGAAGAAGGUUUUCGGAUCGUAAAACUCUGUUGGUAGAGAAGAACGUUGGUGAGAGUGGAAAGCUCAUCAAGUGACGGUAACUACCCAGAAAGGGACGGCUAACUACGUG
rnacentral:rRNA from 1 species